rnacentral:rRNA from 1 species
GACGAACGCUGGCGGCGUGCUUAACACAUGCAAGUCGAACGGAAAGGCCCUGCUUUUGUGGGGUGCUCGAGUGGCGAACGGGUGAGUAACACGUGAGUAACCUGCCCUUGACUUUGGGAUAACUUCAGGAAACUGGGGCUAAUACCGGAUAGGAGCUCCUGCUGCACGGUGGGGGUUGGAAAGUUUCGGCGGUUGGGGAUGGACUCGCGGCUUAUCAGCUUGUUGGUGGGGUAGUGGCUUACCAAGGCUUUGACGGGUAGCCGGCCUGAGAGGGUGACCGGCCACCUUGGGCCUGAGAUACGGACCAGACUCCUACGGGAGGCAGCAGUGGGGAAUAUUGCACAGUGGGCGGAAGCCUGAUGCAGCAACGCUGCGUGCGUGAUGACGGCCUUCGGGUUGUAAACCGCUUUCGCCUGUGACGAAGCGUGAGUGACGGUAAUGGGUAAAGAAGCACCGGCUAACUACGUG